rnacentral:rRNA from 1 species
UACGAAGGGGGCUAGCGUUGUUCGGAAUUACUGGGCGUAAAGCGCGCGCAGGCGGUCUUCCAAGUCAGUGGUGAAAGCCCGGAGCUCAACUCCGGAACUGCCAUUGAAACUGUUGGACUUGAGUACGAGAGAGGUGAGUGGAAUUCCCAGUGUAGAGGUGAAAUUCGUAGAUAUUGGGAAGAACACCGGUGGCGAAGGCGGCUCACUGGCUCGUAACUGACGCUCAGGCGCGACAGGGUGGGGAUCAAACAGGG